rnacentral:rRNA from 1 species
ACAGAGGUCCCAAGCGUUGUUCGGACUCACUGGGCGUAAAGGGUGCGUAGGUGGCAUGUUAAGUCUGAUGUGAAAGCCCGGGGCUCACCCCCGGAAGGGCAUUGGAAACUGGCGGACUCGAGUCCCGGAGAGGAAGGUGGAAUUCCUGGUGUAGCGGUGAAAUGCGUAGAUACCAGGAGGAAUACCGGUGGCGAAGGCGGCCUUCUGGACGGUGACUGACGCUGAGACGCGAAAGCGUGGGGAGCAAACAGGA